AUUGAACGCUGGCGGCAGGCCUAACACAUGCAAGUCGAGCGGGGUUUUCGGACCUAGCGGCGGACGGGUGAGGAAUGCAUCGGAAUCUACCCUGUCGUGGGGGAUAACGUAGGGAAACUUACGCUAAUACCGCAUACGUCCUACGGGAGAAAGCAGGGGACCUUCGGGCCUUGCGCUAAUAGAUGAGCCUAGGUCCGAUU
rnacentral:rRNA from 1 species